rnacentral:rRNA from 1 species
GAUGAACGCUGGCGGCGUGCCUAAUACAUGCAAGUCGAGCGAACAGACGAGGCGCUUGCUCCUCUGACGUUAGCGGCGGACGGGUGAGUAACACGUGGAUAACCUACCUAUAAGACUGGGAUAACUUCGGGAAACCGGAGCUAAUACCGGAUAAUAUAUUGAACCGCAUGGUUCAAUAGUGAAAGACGGUUUUGCUUUCACUUAUAGAUGGAUCCGCGCCGCAUUAGCUAGUUGGUAAGGUAACGGCUUACCAAGGCAACGAUGCGUAGCCGACCUGAGAGGGUGAUCGGCCACACUGGAACUGAGACACGGUCCAGACUCCUACGGGAGGCAGCAGUAGGGAAUCUUCCGCAAUGGGCGAAAGCUUGACGGAGCAACGCCGCGUGAGUGAUGAAGGUCUUCGGAUCGUAAAACUCUGUUAUUAGGGAAGAACAAAUGUGUAAGUAACUAUGCACGUCUUGACGGUACCUAAUCAGAAAGCCACGGCUAACUACGUG